UACGGAGGGUGCAAGCGUUGUCCGGAUUUAUUGGGUUUAAAGGGUGCGUAGGUGGCCUUAUAAGUCAGCGGUGAAAGUCUGCAGCUUAACUGUAGAACUGCCAUUGAUACUGUAAGGCUUGAGUACUGAUGAGGUAGGCGGAAUUGAUAGUGUAGCGGUGAAAUGCAUAGAUAUUAUCAAGAACACCGAUUGCGAAGGCAGCUUACUAAGGAGUUACUGACACUGAGGCACGAAAGCGUGGGGAUCAAGACGG
rnacentral:rRNA from 1 species